AGGUAAUGGUCCUAUCAUAGGCGACGACCGUUAGCGCUGAGAAGGUGACCGGGCCACACCUGGACUGAGACACGUCAGACUCUACGGGAGGCAGCAGUGGGAAUAUGCACAAUGGCGAAAGCCUGAUGCAGCGACGCCGCGUGAGGGAUGACGGCCUCCGGGUGUAAACCUCUUCAGCAGGGAAGAAGCGAAGUGACGGUACUGCAGAAGAAGCACCGCUAACUACGUGCCAGCAGCCGCGGUAAUACGUAGGGUGCAAGCGUUGUCCGGGAAUUAUUGGGCGUAAAGAGCUCGUAGGCGGCCUGUCGCGUCGAUUGUGAAAGCCCAGGGCUUAACCCUGGGUCUGCAGUCGAUACGGGCAGGCUAGAGUUCGGUAGGGGAGAUCGGAAUUCCUGGUGUAGCGGUGAAAUGCGCAGAUAUCAGGAGGAACACCGGUGGCGAAGGCGGAUCUCUGGGCCGAUACUGACGCUGAGGAGCGAAAGCGUGGGGAGCGAACAGGAUUAGAUACCCUGGUAGUCCACGCCGUAAACGGUGGGCACUAGGUGUGGGCAACAUUCCACGUUGUCCGUGCCGCAGCUAACGCAUUAAGUGCCCCGCCUGGGGAGUACGGCCGCAAGGCUAAAACUCAAAGGAAUUGACGGGGGCCCGCACAAGCGGCGGAGCAUGUGGCUUAAUUCGACGCAACGCGAAGAACCUUACCAAGGCUUGACAUACACCGGAAACGGCCAGAGAUGGUCGCCCCCUUGUGGUCGGUGUACAGGUGGUGCAUGGCUGUCGUCAGCUCGUGUCGUGAGAUGUUGGGUUAAGUCCCGCAACGAGCGCAACCCUUAUCCUGUGUUGCCAGCGGAUCCCUUCGGGGGUGCCGGGGACUCACGGGAGACUGCCGGGGUCAACUCGGAGGAAGGUGGGGACGACGUCAAGUCAUCAUGCCCCUUAUGUCUUGGGCUGCACACGUGCUACAAUGGCCGGUACAAUGAGCUGCGAUACCGCGAGGUGGAGCGAAUCUCAAAAAGCCGGUCUCAGUUCGGAUUGGGGUCUGCAACUCGACCCCAUGAAGUCGGAGUCGCUAGUAAUCGCAGAUCAGCAUUGCUGCGGUGAAUACGUUCCCGGGCCUUGUACACACCGCCCGUCACGUCAUGAAAGUCGGUAACACCCGAAGCCGGUGGCCUAACCCCUUGUGGAGGGAGCUUCGAAGUUGACU
rnacentral:rRNA from 1 species